rnacentral:rRNA from 1 species
GACGAACGCUGGCGGCGUGCUUAACACAUGCAAGUCGAACGGAAAGGCCCUGCUUGCCGGGUACUCGAGUGGCGAACGGGUGAGUAACACGUGGGUGAUCUGCCCUGCACUUCGGAAUAAGCCUGGGAAACUGGGUCUAAUACCGGAUAGGAGCCAUUGUUAGUGUGAGGGUUGGAAAGUUUUUUCGGUGUAGGAUGAGCUCGCGGCCUAUCAGCUUGUUGGUGGGGUAAUGGCCUACCAAGGCGGCGACGGGUAGCCGGCCUGAGGGGGUGGACGGCCAACAUGGGGCCUGGGUGAGGCCCCAGCGUCUAAGGGGGGGAAGCGGGGGGAAGAUUGGACCAUGGGCGCGAGGCUUGUGCAGCCACGCCGCGGGGCGGAAUGCCGGCUUCGGGGUGGAAAACCGCUUUCGUAUGGGACGAAGCUUUUGUGACGGUACCUAGAAAAGAAGCACCGGCUAACUACGUG